GUGCUGGUUUCAGCAGCACAUCUACCAAUAUUGGAAAGAUACAGAAACGAUUAGCAUGACCGCUGCACAAGGAUGACAUGCAAACUCGUGAAGUGUUCCAUAUUUUU